ensembl:lncRNA
AAAAGGAAUAGACUGCUCUAAGACUUGCAGUUGAAUGAGGAACUUUGUGCAUUAAAGAAAAUUAUGGAAAGCCAUUUUGUGGGCUGGGGGCGGAGGGUGGAAAGACUUGAUGUGCAUUGUCAACUAAAUUAAUGAACUGUCAUCUAUCCAGUGAGUUUACCGAAGAGCCUACAGAAAUGUGAACAAAUGGGAUAUCACCAGAGCCACAGAUGCUCAGGUGCUGUUUUGUUUUCCUGGCUUUUUCCACACAAACUGAGGAAACAUUUUGUCUGGAAAAUUACAAGGUCGGCUCGUGCCAGAAGCUAUUGUUGGAGAAACAGCCCAGUGACGCCAUUAAACAGGCCACAGUUAAUUAGUAGCAAACCCUGAAGAUGCUUCUUACAUUAUGACACAGAGAGAUAGUGGAGAAAGCAAGAAAAAGGAAAAUCUGGAUAGGGGACUUCAAAAUGGAAUGUUUCUUAAAAAAAAUUAAUAUGGAAGAAUUAAAAAAAAAAAAAGCUCGGGAAUGUGAGGUUGUCAGUCUUUUCUUCCUUCAAGUACAAGUGCUUGAGAUAUUUUCAAAAACUAGCAACAACUCUGUGUGACAGCAUCCUCUCC